AUUGAACGCUGGCGGCAUGCCUUACACAUGCAAGUCGAACGGCAGCAUUAUCUAGCUUGCUAGAUUGAUGGCUAGUUUCUCCCUGUUGAUUACUACCUCGGAACGUUCCCUUUCUUUUUUUAUACCUAGUCUCCCUCUUAGCUACUACCGCAUCCUCCCUGAUGGUGAAAGUGGGUGACCGCACGGCCUCAUGCUCUCGGCGCUGCCGCUGUCUGAUUAGCUAGUUGGUGAGGUAAAGGCUCACCAAGGCGACGAUCAGUAGCUGGUCUGAGAGGACGAUCAGCCACACUGGGAAUGAGACACGGCACAGACUCCUACGGGAGGCAGCAGUGGGGAAUUUUGGACAAUGGGCGAAAGCCUGAUCCAGCAAUGCCGCGUGUGUGAAGAAGGAAUUCGGGUUGUAAAGCACUUUUGUCCGGAAAGAAAUGGCGAUGGUUAAUACCUGGGGUAGAUGACGGUACCGGAAGAAUAAGGACCGGCUAACUACGUG
rnacentral:rRNA from 1 species